rnacentral:rRNA from 1 species
UAUAGAUGGAUCCGCGCUGCAUUAGCUAGUUGGUAAGGUAACGGCUUACCAAGGCAACGAUGCAUAGCCGACCUGAGAGGGUGAUCGGCCACACUGGAACUGAGACACGGUCCAGACUCCUACGGGAGGCAGCAGUAGGGAAUCUUCCGCAAUGGGCGAAAGCCUGACGGAGCAACGCCGCGUGAGUGAUGAAGGUCUUCGGAUCGUAAAACUCUGUUAUUAGGGAAGAACAUAUGUGUAAGUAACUGUGCACAUCUUGACGGUACCUAAUCAGAAAGCCACGGCUAACUACGUGCCAGCAGCCGCGGUAAUACGUAGGUGGCAAGCGUUAUCCGGAAUUAUUGGGCGUAAAGCGCGCGUAGGCGGUUUUUUAAGUCUGAUGUGAAAGCCCACGGCUCAACCGUGGAGGGUCAUUGGAAACUGGAAAACUUGAGUGCAGAAGAGGAAAGUGGAAUUCCAUGUGUAGCGGUGAAAUGCGCAGAGAUAUGGAGGAACACCAGUGGCGAAGGCGACUUUCUGGUCUGUAACUGACGCUGAUGUGCGAAAGCGUGGGGAUCAAACAGGAUUAGAUACCCUGGUAGUCCACGCCGUAAACGAUGAGUGCUAAGUGUUAGGGGGUUUCCGCCCCUUAGUGCUGCAGCUAACGCAUUAAGCACUCCGCCUGGGGAGUACGACCGCAAGGUUGAAACUCAAAGG